GAUGAACGCUGGCGGCGUGCCUAACACAUGCAAGUCGAGCGGCAGCGCGAGUAGUUUACUACUUGGCGGCGAGCGGCGAACGGCUGAGUAACGCGUGGGAAUUUGCCCCAAAGUGAGGAAUAACUGCCCGAAAGGGUGGCUAAUGCCGCAUAUGAUCUUCGGAUUAAAGGAUUUAUCCGCUUUGGGAGAAGCCCGCGUCGGAUUAGGUAGUUGGUGAGGUAAUGGCUCACCAAGCCGACGAUCCGCAGCUGGUCUGAGAGGAUGACCAGCCAGACUGGAACUGAGACACGGUCCAGACUCCUACGGGAGGCAGCAGUGAGGAAUCUUCCACAGUGGGCGAAAGCCUGAUGGAGCAACGCCGCGUGCAGGAUGAAGGCCUUCGGGUUGUAAACUGCUUUUAUAAGCGAGGAAUAUGACGGUAGCUUAUGAAGAGGUGUCAACCGCA
rnacentral:rRNA from 1 species